GAUGAACGCUAGCGGCAGGCCUAAUACAUGCGAGUCGGACGGGAUCCAUCGGUAGCUUGCUAUCCAUGGUGAGAGUGGCGCACGGGUGCGUAACGCGUGAGCAACCUGCCUCCAUCAGGGGGAUAGCCUCUCGAAAGAGAGAUUAACACCGCAUAACAUAUCAGACCGGCAUCGGUCGGAUAUCAAAUAUUUAUAGGAUGGAGAUGGGCUCGCGUGACAUUAGCUUGUUGGUGGGGUAACGGCCCACCAAGGCGACGAUGUCUAGGGGCUCUGAGAGGAAUCCCCCACACUGGUACUGAGACACGGACCAGACUCCUACGGGAGGCAGCAGUAAGGAAUAUUGGUCAAUGGGCGGAAGCCUGAACCAGCCAUGCCGCGUGCAGGAUGACUGCCCUAUGGGUUGUAAACUGCUUUUGUCCGGGAAUAAACCUCCUUACGUGUAGGGAGCUGAAUGUACCGGAAGAAUAAGGAUCGGCUAACUCCGUG
rnacentral:rRNA from 1 species